rnacentral:rRNA from 1 species
UCGAGGAUAUUUAGCAAUGGGCGAAAGCCUGACUAUGUGACGCCGCGUGAGGGAUGAAGGUCUUCGGAUUGUAAACCUCUUUCGAUGGGGAAGAAUACUCCGUUUAACUAACGGAAUUGACGGUACCCAGAGAAGAAGCCAUGGCCAACUCUGUGCCAGCAGCCGCGGUAAUACAGAGAUGGCGAGCGUUACUCGGAUUUAUUGGGUGUAAAGGGCAGGUAGGUGGCUAUGCAAGUUGGGGGUGAAAUCCUGCAGCUUAACUGCAGAACUGCCUUCAAAACUGCAUGGCUUGAGGUCAGAAGAGGAAAGCGGAAUUCCCGGUGUAAGGGUGAAAUCUGUAGAUAUCGGGAGGAACACCAGUGGCGAAGGCGGCUUUCUGGUCUGACCCUGACGCUAAGCU